rnacentral:rRNA from 1 species
CGGCGGAGCAUGCGGAUUAAUUCGAUGCAACGCGAAGAACCUUACCAAGGCUUGACAUGUUCUCGAUCGCCGUAGAGAUACGGUUUCCCCUUUGGGGCGGGUUCACAGGUGGUGCAUGGUUGUCGUCAGCUCGUGUCGUGAGAUGUUGGGUUAAGUCCCGCAACGAGCGCAACCCUCGUUCCAUGUUGCCAGCACGUCGUGGUGGGGACUCAUGGGAGACUGCCGGGGUCAACUCGGAGGAAGGUGAGGACGACGUCAAAUCAUCAUGCCCCUUAUGUCUUGGGCUUCACGCAUGCUACAAUGGCCGGUACAAUGGGUUGCGAUACUGUGAGGUGGAGCUAAUCCCAAAAAGCCGGUCUCAGUUCGGAUUGGGGUCUGCAACUCGACCCCAUGAAGUCGGAGUCGCUAGUAAUCGCAGAUCAGCAACGCUGCGGUGAAUACGUUCCCGGGCCUUGUACACACCGCCCGUCAAGUCACGAAAGUUGGUAACACCCGAAGCCGGUGGCCUAACCCUUGUG